ensembl:snRNA U6atac minor spliceosomal RNA
AUGUUAAAGUAGAGAUGGUUAGUACUCCCCCCUGAUAAGGAUGAAACAGAUCCUGGUAAGCCUUCAACACACAUGAUUACUGCAUAGCCACCUACUUAGCGGUAUCCGUAAUGAGAGGUUG